rnacentral:lncRNA from 1 species
AAGAGGGGAAGAGAAACAAUAACUAGAAUUGCAAAUAAACAGGUAAGGAGCAGCAACAUCGACGUGAAUAAGGUCGAAUUAUGCUUCUCGCUUGGGGUUGAUUCUUGACUGCAACAAGGUAACACCAAAUUGUAGUAGUUCAGGUUUAUGGAUUUUGUUUUCAUCAUUAUAGUUAUUGGUAGCAAUUAGACCUAAGAAGCAGGGCAAGCCCUAAGGAAGAAAGGAAAUGGGUUAAUUUGAUCAUGUGAACAAGAAUUUCAUCACAAAAUAAUUGGAAUUGUACGUGAUGGGCUGUGCAUAAUGAUGCCCAUAUAUAGCUAAAUACAGGUACUAAGGCAAGAGAUGGGUUAGUUCAACAAAGGUGAGUAGGGUUAUUAUGAAUAUAAGUCCACCAUUAAACAUUAGUAAAGGAGUGGAGAAACAACAGGAGAAUAUUUGGUUUAAACUUUGGAGACUUGUUAAGACAUUACUGAUGAAUUCUAUAUGAAAGAAAUUUAAUGGCUUAUUUUCAAUAAAGAAAUGAUAUGGGCAAGAUUAUGGUGAAUUAUAAUUUAAUUUUAUGGUGCUAGGUUGUUUUGCUUCAUUUUCAAAGUUAAACCAAUGCUUCAAAUUGUGAAGUAUUAUAUGGACAGAAAUUUAUAUACAUUGAAUAGAAACAGGAACGAGAAUGAGUUAAAGGAGUUUUGAUUAUGGAUUUGACCAAUUGUUAUUAAUUGGUACCUGCAACAAGAGAGAAAAGAAUGGGACUCUACUUUAAAUUCUUCUUUUACCUUCAAACAAAAAUAAUUAUUUUCAAUUAGAAAGUGACUGCAAUUGGAUAUUUCUUUGGUCCAUUGGCUAGGGGGUUGGAUUAAAUGGUUGCUAAUACGAAGAAAUGUUACAUUUUUUCAGGAAAUAUCGAGGUCAGGACACUUGAUGAUCGAAUUAGUCCUGUAAGUGGAAAAACCCUAAAUAUUUUCAAGUAUUGAUAAAUUAAUUAUACGAAUACAUUAUGUGCAUUUAUAUGUUCGAUUACAUGAUUAUUUUGGAAAUAUUCUUUGAUUCUGAUAUUUGUGGAAUUCAAAGAUUAGAUAUGAAAAUAUUUGUGAUUUGGAAUGUGAGACAUGUGAUAUUAAGAUCGAUCAGAAAAGUACUCGUGAUUAUAUAUUUCUUCUAGUUCACAGAUAAGUAAGUCCCUUAGCUAUGGGAUUAAACUAAUGAUGCAUGUAUACAAGUGAACAUUAAGGAUUUGUGAUUUUCUGAAUUAGGGGAUUUUGAUUUUGGGGGAAUAUGGUUACUUGGAAUUGGAGGUUUUUCUUUGGUAAAAGAAUAGAAUUUUGGGACUUUUUUGGUGGACUAAUAGAAGCUGUCAACAGAAUCAAUUUAUAUAUGGUUGUUUAUUGUUUUUCAUUUUUACUUUGUAAAAUGUAGUAAUAAUAGUAUAAAAAAAAUUGGAAUGUAUUUUAUGAAUUAUUAUUUUAAAAUGUGUAUUAAGUGUAAUUUAGUCUUUUCCUUCUCUCUACAUAAAUACACAAUUUUGAGUUUGUAUUACCAGUAAUCAGAUCUGUUGAUUAACAAUGAUCUGGUUUAUUUUUUCUUUCUGAUUUUUGUUGUUUUGAUUGUAUAGUUUUCAAUAUUUGAAGAAGAGAAAAAGAGAAUAAUAGAUGUUUGGUAUAGCAACAAAGAAGUGUAAUAAUAGCAAGUAUUAUGAGCUAUUGGAGUUUCAAAGAAUGCUUCAGAGGAUGAUCUCAAGAAGGCCUACUGUAAAUCUGCCAUCAAGAAGGAGGCGAGCCUCGAAAUGUAAUUUCUCUAAAUUUUAUUAGUGCAGUGUAUAUUUUAUUUGUGAAUUGGUCUUUUGAGG